rnacentral:rRNA from 1 species
UACGUAGGUGGCAAGCGCUGUCCGGAUUUACUGGGUGUAAAGGGCGUGUAGCCGGGCUGACAAGUCAGAUGUGAAAUCCGGGGGCUCAACCCCCGAACUGCAUUUGAAACUGUUGGUCUUGAGUAUCGGAGAGGCAGGCGGAAUUCCUAGUGUAGCGGUGAAAUGCGUAGAUAUUAGGAGGAACACCAGUGGCGAAGGCGGCCUGCUGGACGACAACUGACGGUGAGGCGCGAAAGCGUGGGGAGCAAACAGG